UUUCUUUGUGAUGAAUAUAAUAGAUUUAUAUUUCCUUUUCAUAUGAUGAUUGCAGGAUCAUAAUAAGGACUACAUUGUUGAAUUCCAAGACACGAGCCCAAGUUCACUUGCAAGGAAAUACCCAGGUCUUAAAUGAGGUCUCUACAAACCUUCCACAACCAUGUGUAUGGCAUUCUACAACAGAAUCUGUCAAAGCCCUUGAAUUAUUUGUUACUAUAGGGAGUGACUCCUCAAAAAGUCUCACAUAUAGCAUCAUGGGAAGAAGCACCACUAGGGAAGUAGCAGGGAUCUGAGAGCUGCUAUCAUGGUGAUCACUGUGUUGUUUUAUUUCUGUGUUUUUUGGUAAUUGGGAUUUAUGAGCUCUCAUGGACUGCUGGUACUGGGAUUUACAGUCUCGCUAGGCAUGUGAUGAAUCCACUUAUAAGGUUGUUAACUCCGGCUCUCCUUGGAUGUGACGUGCGCUGUAGCUACGUGCUGGUCUUCGACGGCAAGAUCGCCAACUUGAAACAGUCCCCCAACACCGCCGCGCCUCUCCACCCCCUCCACUCCAGCAGCUUCGGGGCAUUCCUCCUUUGCUCCAGCGGCGGUGAAAGGGGAGCUCUAGCAGCGGCGGACACCGGGUUACAGCAGCGGCGGCGAGAGGCGG